UACGUAGGGUGCGAGCGUUAAUCGGAAUUACUGGGCGUAAAGUGUGCGCAGGUGGCCGCGCAAGUCGAGUGUGAAAUCCCCCGGGCUCAACUUGGGAAUGGCGCUUGAAACUACGAGGCUGGAGUGUGGCAGAGGGAGGUGGAAUUCCACGUGUAGCGGUGAAAUGCGUAGAGAUGUGGAGGAACACCGAUGGCGAAGGCAGCCUCCUGGGCCAACACUGACGCUCAUGCACGAAAGCGUGGGGAGCAAACAGG
rnacentral:rRNA from 1 species